UACCUGGCGGCGGCUUACCAUGCAAGUCGAGCGGAGCGAGGGUGCUUGCACCUUAGCUUAGCGGCGGACGGGUGAGUAAUGCUUAGGAAUCUGCCUAUUAGUGGGGGACAACAUUCCGAAAGGGAUGCUAAUACCGCAUACGCCCUACGGGGGAAAGCAGGGGAUCUUCGGACCUUGCGCUAAUAGAUGAGCCUAAGUCGGAUUAGCUAGUUGGUGGGGUAAAGGCCUACCAAGGCGACGAUCUGUAGCGGGUCUGAGAGGAUGAUCCGCCACACUGGGACUGAGACACGGCCCAGACUCCUACGGGAGGCAGCAGUGGGGAAUAUUGGACAAUGGGGGGAACCCUGAUCCAGCCAUGCCGCGUGUGUGAAGAAGGCCUUUUGGUUGUAAAGCACUUUAAGCGAGGAGGAGGCGCUCUAGGCUAAUACCCUAGAUGCGUGGACGUUACUCGCAGAAUAAGCACCGGCUAACUCUGUGCCAGCAGCCGCGGUAAUACAGAGGGUGCGAGCGUUAAUCGGAUUUACUGGGCGUAAAGCGCGCGUAGGUGGCUAAUUAAGUCAAAUGUGAAAUCCCCGAGCUUAACUUGGGAAUUGCAUUCGAUACUGGUUAGCUAGAGUAUGGGAGAGGGAUGGUAGAAUUCCAGGUGUAGCGGUGAAAUGCGUAGAGAUCUGGAGGAAUACCCGAUGGCGAAGGCAGCCAUCUGGCCUAAUACUGACACUGAGGUGCGAAAGCAUGGGGAGCAAACAGGAUUAGAUACCCUGGUAGUCCAUGCCGUAGACGAUGUCUACUAGCCGUUGGGGCCUUU
rnacentral:rRNA from 1 species